rnacentral:rRNA from 1 species
AACCUCAUGUAUCCAUACGCCAAUCCAUAACGUAUGGAGGGGAACCCGGGGAACUGAAACAUCUAAGUACCCGGAGGAAAAGAAAGAAAACUCGAUUCCGUAAGUAGCGGCGAGCGAACGCGGAGGAGCCUAAACCAGUGUGCGUGCACGCUGGGGUUACGGACUGCAUUUAAGAUUCUGUAAAGCUAGCAGAACGGUUUUGGGAAAGCCGGCCGGAGAGGGUGAGAGCCCCGUACGCGAAAGCAGAGCAGACUGAGCAGGAUCCAGAGUACCGCGGGACACGAGAAACCCUGCGGGAAGUGAGGGGGACCACCCCCUAAGGCUAAAUACCACUUAGUGACCGAUAGCGCAUAGUACUGUGAAGGAAAGGUGAAAAGGACCCCGGGAGGGGAGUGAAAGAGAACCUGAAACCCUGUGUCUACAAGCUGUGGAAGUGCUUUAUAUGCACGACCGCGUACUUUUUGUAGAACGGUCCGGCGAGUUGCGCUUACUGGCAAGGUUAAGGUCUUAAGGACCGGAGCCGUAGGGAAACCAAGUCUUAAUAGGGCCAGAGUCAGUGAGGGCAGACCCGAAACCGGGUGAUCUAUCCAUGUCCAGGUUGAAGCUGCCGUAAGAGGCAGUGGAGGACCGAACCCACAUCCGUUGAAAAGGGUGGGGAUGAGGUGUGGAUAGGGGAGAAAUUCCAAUCGAACCCGGAGAUAGCUGGUUCUCCUCGAAAUAGCUUUAGGGCUAGCCUCGGUAGAGAUUAGCGGAGGUAGAGCACUGAAUUUCCUAGGGGGCGUCAAAGCCUACCGAAGAAUAUCAAACUCCGAAUGCCGCAGAAUUGCUUACCGGGAGUCAGACUGCACGAGAUAAGUUGGGCAGUCGAAAGGGAAAGAGCCCAGACCUUCAGUUAAGGUCCCAAAGUGCGCGUUAAGUGGAAAAGGAUGUGGGAUUUCAAAGACAACCAGGAUGUUGGCUCAGAAGCAGCCAUUCAUUCAAAGAGUGCGUAAUAGCUCACUGGUCGAGAGGUCCUGCGCCGAAAAUGUCCGGGGCUGAAACGCGCCACCGAAACUAAGGAAUCAGAAAUGAUUGGUAGAGGAGCAUUGCAUGCGGGACGAAGCAGUACCGUAAGGAGCUGUGGACUGCAUGGAAGAGAGAAUGCCGGAAUGAGUAGCGAGAAUAAGGUGAGAAUCCUUAUGGCCGAAUAUCCAAGGUUUCCAGGGUAAAGCUGAUCUGCCCUGGGUAAGUCGGGGCCUAAGGCGAGGACGAGAGUCGUAGCCGAUGGACAACAGGUGGAGAUUCCUGUACUGCGGUAUGACAGAACUGUGGGGACACGUGCAGAGAGCGGAAGCCGGGAACGGAAAGCCCGGUGCAAGUGAGGUACCAGUCACAUUGGCAAAUCCGUGUGGCAAUGGGAAGACACGAUGCGGACCGAAUUAAAGUAGGGAAGUCCGUGAGCUGUGCGUCAAGAAAAGCCGCUAUUGUUUAUACCGUACCCGUACCGUAAACCGACACAGGUGGAUGAGGAGAGAAUCCUAAGGCCGGCGGAAGAAGCAUUGUCAAGGAACUCGGCAAAAUGACCCCGUAACUUCGGGAGAAGGGGUGCCAGGGAGACCUGGCCGCAGAGAAUAGGCUCAAGCAACUGUUUAGCAAAAACACAGGUCUAUGCGAAACCGAAAGGUGAGGUAUAUGGGCUGACGCCUGCCCGGUGCUGGAAGGUUAAGAGGAGAGGUUAGCGCAAGCGAAGCUUUGAAUUUAAGCCCCAGUAAACGGCGGCCGUAACUAUAACGGUCCUAAGGUAGCGAAAUUCCUUGUCGGGUAAGUUCCGACCCGCACGAAAGGCGUAAUGAUUUGAGCGCUGUCUCGACAAU